GAACUGCGAUAAGUAAUGUGAAUUGCAGAAUUCAGUGAAUCAUCGAGUCUUUGAACGCACAUUGCGCCCCCUGGCAUUCCGGGGGGCAUGCCUGUCCGAGCGUCAUUGCUGCCCUCAAGCCCGGCUUGUGUGUUGGGUCGUCGUCCCCCCCGGGGGACGGGCCCGAAAGGCAGCGGCGGCACCGUGUCCGGUCCUCGAGCGUAUGGGGCUUUGUCACCCGCUCGAUUAGGGCCGGCCGGGCGCCAGCCGGCGUCUCCAACCUUAUUUUUCUCAGGUUGACCUCGGAUCAGGUAGGGAUACCCGCUGAACUUAGGC
rnacentral:misc_RNA from 1 species